rnacentral:rRNA from 1 species
AUUGAACGCUGGCGGCAGGCCUAACACAUGCAAGUCGAGCGAGCGGCGGACGGGUGAGUAAUGUAUGGGGACUGCCCGAUAGCAGGGGAUGACUACUGGAAACGGUGGCUAAUACCGCAUACUAUCGGGUAACCCAGAUUGGAUUAGCUAGUAGGGGCGGUAAAGGCUCACCUAGGCGACGAUCUCUAGCUGGUCUGAGAUGAUGAUCAGACACCCUGGGAUGGAGCCACGGCCCAGACUCCGACGGAGGGAGGAGUGGGGAGUGUAGUACAAUGGACUGAAGCCUGAUGAAGCCAUGCCGAGUGUAGGAAGAAGGCCUUAGGCUUGUAAAGUACUUUCAGCGGUGAGGCGUUACCCGAAGAAGAAGCACCGGCUAACUCCGUGCCAGCAGCCGCGGUAAUUC